rnacentral:rRNA from 1 species
AGUGAACGCUGGCGGUAGGCCUAACACAUGCAAGUCGAACGGCAGCACAGUAAGAGCUUGCUCUUACGGGUGGCGAGUGGCGGACGGGUGAGGAAUACAUCGGAAUCUACUUUUUCGUGGGGGAUAACGUAGGGAAACUUACGCUAAUACCGCAUACGACCUACGGGUGAAAGCAGGGGAUCUUCGGACCUUGCGCAAUUGAAUGAGCCGAUGUCGGAUUAGCUAGUUGGCGGGGUAAAGGCCCACCAAGGCGACGAUCCGUAGCUGGUCUGAGAGGAUGAUCAGCCACACUGGAACUGAGACACGGUCCAGACUCCUACGGGAGGCAGCAGUGGGGAAUAUUGGACAAUGGGCGCAAGCCUGAUCCAGCCACACCGCGUGGGUGAAGAAGGCCUUCGGGUUGUAAAGCCCUUUUGUUGGGAAAGAAAAGCAGCAGGUUAAUACCCCGCUGUUCUGACGGUACCCAAAGAAUAAGCACCGGCUAACUUCGUG